rnacentral:rRNA from 1 species
CCUACGGGUGGCAGCAGUGAGGAAUAUUGGUCAAUGGCCGUAAGGCUGAACCAGCCAAGUCGCGUGAAGGAAGAAGGAUCUAUGGUUUGUAAACUUCUUUUAUAGGGGAAUAAAGGUAUCCACGUGUGGAUAUUUGCAUGUACCCUAUGAAUAAGCAUCGGCUAACUCCGUGCCAGCAGCCGCGGUAAUACGGAGGAUGCGAGCGUUAUCCGGAUUUACUGGGUUUAAAGGGGGCGCAGACGGCGAUGCAAGCCAGGAGUGAAAGCCCGGGGCCCAACCCCGGGACUGCCCUUGGAACUGGGUGGCUAGAGUGCAGGAGGGGCAGGCGGAAUUCCUGGUGUAGCGGUGAAAUGCGUAGAUAUCACGAAGAACUCCGAUUGCGAAGGCAGCCUACUAAACUGCCACUGACAUUGAUGCUCGAAAGUGUGGGUAUCAAACAGGAUUAGAUACCCCGGUAGUC